GUGACACAGCCUAGUGUUGCUGUUUAUAUGAGUGAAGGUGUACUUCCCACACCAAAACUUGUGACAUGUUUACAGACAAAUAAAUCCAACUCAAGCGGCACAUCUGUCGUCAGAGCUUUCCGCAGCUGUGCUAUGAUAGGGGCGCAGUCCUCUCCUGCUUCUGUGCCACCCCCAGGAGAAGCUGAGUGUCUUGAGGCUCGGUGGCAGCAUUUGUGAAUGGAUGUCACUCCAUUGGUGGGGGAGGGAACAGCACAGAGGGGACAGGGCCUAGCAGAGAAUGAGUGACUUAUGCAAUGGGGAUUUGGGUCUGAUUUCUGGUUCUGUCACUUUCUGGCUUAGGGUCUAAGGGCUCCUUGAUUCCAAACAAGUGAAGCCAAGCUCAAACAAGAUUGAGAUUCAGGGGUGUCUCAUGGGAUCCACGAGUGGGAUGGCAGCUGAGCCUCAAGAAGGAGACUCAUCAGAAGCCAACAAGAAAGAGCAGAACAUUCCAAAAGCCUUUGGAAAAGAGAAGUGGCAGGAAACCCAAAUAGAGGCAAAGAAGGACAGACAACCACCCAGGUGGUCAUGGAACCAAGCCAGUGUGCUCAGAGGCAGACACAUUUCUGAUGACCUGUAUGAGGGGGGAUCGAGUAAGGAAUUGCCUGCUUUCCAUUAAACACAACCACGAUGACUGGUGUCUGAUGAUAGGUGAAGGACUGUGCCAAUUCUGGGCUGCCGGAAUGAAGGAGAUGCCAUCCUUGGCCUCCAGGAGCUUACAGGAGGGGCCCAGAUGUAAUACAGACGGAAUGACCUAAAUAAGUUAUAACUAAAUACCAGGAGAGAAAAAGAAAGAAGUAAAAGAGGCUUAUAGUGAGCCUGCCACUUUGUAAUACGCUUUCACAUCGAUAUGCUUAUUUAGAGGAGUUGACGUAGGAGUGCCGUUAGUGGUAUGGACUCUCACUCCCAGCCGGCCAAGCUCUUCUACAUUCAGGCUGUAUUCACUGUUCCACAACAUUAACCUAACUCUGGCUUCCUUCCAGUUCCCCCCUCUGAGUCAAGUUUUAAGCCCCACCUAUUUUAUUUUUUUUUUCUUCGUCUUGACUGAUGCUACGCACCCCAAG
rnacentral:lncRNA from 1 species